rnacentral:rRNA from 1 species
AUUGAACGCUGGCGGCAUGCUUUACACAUGCAAGUCGAACGGUAACAGGCCUUCGGGCGCUGACGAGUGGCGAACGGGUGAGUAAUGCAUCGGAACGUGCCCAGUCGUGGGGGAUAACUAUCCGAAAGGAUAGCUAAUACCGCAGACUAUCUGCGGAGGAAAGCGGGGGACCUUCGGGCCUCGCGCGAUUGGAGCGGCCGAUGUCAGAUUAGGGAGUUGGUGGGGUAAAGGCUCACCAAGCCAACGAUCUGUAGCUGGUCUAGGAGGAAGACCAGCCACCCUGGGACUGAGACACGGCCCGGACUCCUACGGGAGGCAGCAGUGGGUAAUUUUGGACAAUGGGCGCAAGCCUGAUCCAGCAAUGCCGCGUGCAGGAAGAAGGCCUUCGGGUUGUAAACUGCUUUUGUACGGAACGAAACGGCUCUGGUUAAUACCCGGGGCUAAUGACGGUACCGUAAGAAUAAGCACCGGCUAACUACGUGCCAGCCGCCGCCGUAAUAC